AUGACCACUGGCCCCACAGGCUCCUCCCAGCCCCCGCCCCGCCCUGUGGGUUCUGUGGCCUCUUCAGAACUGACUCAGCCCCCAGCAGUGUCGGUGGCCUUGGGACAGACGGCCAGGAUCACCUGCCAGGGUGAUCUGGUAACAAAAGUUUAUCCUCGAUGGCUCCAGCAGAAGCCUGGCCAGGCCCCCAUGCUGCUCAUCCAUGGUGAUGAAAACAGGACCUCAACGAUCCCUGAGCGAUUCUCUGGCUCUGACUCAGGAGACACUAGCACCCUGACCAUCAGCGGGGCCCAGGCCCAGGACGAGGCCGACUAUUACUGUUCAGCAUGGGACAAGAAUGCUAAAGCUCACAGUGACACAGGCGGAUGGGGAAGUGGGACAGAAACCUCCCUGUGUCACCCUCUCCUCCAGCCCCGAGGGCUGCAGACCAAGCCCUGA